CAGGCUUUCUGCCCCCUGAGAACGUGUGCGCAGAAAGGAUGAACCCAUCCCGAGCCGUGCGCCCCUUCCCCUGUCCUCCUCCACCUUGCCUGGGCUCCGCCUCCUCCUCCUCUCUCUCUCUUCUGCGCCAACGGCCACUCCCUCGUUGCUGGACCCCGCCCUGCUUCGCCUCCGCCAGCCUCUUCCUCCUUGCCGUCGACGGCAGCGGUGUGAACUGGAGCAGCGGCCGCGACUAGAUGUGAUGAGUUGACUGGGCUGGUUCCACGCUGAGGAACGGACCCCCUCGACACCAUCCUCUGCGGCGCUACUCUGCUGCCUCCGUUUGUCACAGUUAAGGUUUGUGAUCUCUUCUGUAUUCCGCUUUCCAGGAGUUCUUGCCUUCAACGCUGAGGUGGAAUGGCUCUUCCCAUACUUGUCUCGCGAAGGUGGGGCUCGAAGAAGUAUGGCCCUGAUGCGCUAGGUUUGUCAUUUUUGUCAGCAUCCGCUUCCUUCGUUGGUUGUCGCUUGUUUGUACAUUGUUGUAGUUCAGAGACGCCACCCAAUUUGCUAAUAUAAUUGUUCAGUGCUCUCUCACAGCGAUUCUUACAAAAUUAUCAUGCAUACAGUUACCUGUUUAAGUAGAAUAUAAGCACUGUGUUAUUCAAAUGCAGAUUCUUUUGUAACUCAAGAGGUUAUAUUUUAAUUGCAUGCACUUACUUUAGCUUAGGGGUUCAUCUGUACGGGAGCACAUCAUUGGAGAGAAAGAUCAUGAUCAAAGGAAAUAGGUUUCAGCUUUCAGGCUCAUGCGCCUGUUUUCCUUUUUCCUUUUGAUGGGGCCGUUCAGGUGAGGUGAAGCAAGCAAGCACCUCCCCGUGUUUUAUAUUUGAGAUCGAGGAGAGAGCGAGCCAUUGCAGAGGAGAGGGGAUACGAGGAUGGGCGGAGGUCAGGCCUUGCUAACAGAUUUGUGGCGGAGUGGGAGAGGUGACCCCGGCCGGCCGGCGCCUCACCACCGGCUCCUGUUUGGCGGUGGCAAAGAGAAGGGUGCCGAGGAUGUGUUGCUCUAUGCAUGGGUGACGAAGUACAUCCUCGUUAUGAUGUGUAUGGUUUCUCUAUUUUCAGCCCUACUGCUCUUGAGCCCAAAUCCCAUGACCAUCCCCCCACCUCUCCUUCGUUGAAUGAAGGGAGUCUGGUUGCUAAAAAGUAUGGAAUUUUAAUUUGAUAGUCCGAACAACGGUGGGUAUUGAUGGAGCAAUCUACAUCUUUACAUGAUAAGCUGACACCUCAUAAGGAUCAGGAGAACAACAGAGAUGCUAAGAGGCAACCUUUUGGGGUUAAGGAUAUCAACAACAACAGGGCUUAUGAGGCCGAAGAGAGCUCGGGUGGCGUCUUUUGGUACUUGAAGCCCUGCAUGUUCCUGGUGUAGUAGCAGCAAAAUAAUUUGGAGGCUUUAAAGCUACUGCACUUCAUGUAGUUAGGAUCAAUUCUUUGUUUAGGUUUGAAAUAUUCCCCUGUUCCUCCUAUUUGAUUGAUUCAUCUGAUGGACAUUUUGUCAGGCAAAUAAACAAAAGGUAUAUGUAUUGUUCAAGAAAUUCAAGAAACAGAGAAAUGUUAUUGUUCUUCUACUAAUUGGUUGCUUGGCCAAAUGUAUUGUAAAUGAUUUAUUAUUGUUUGUUCUUCAUUGUAGUGGAUGA